rnacentral:lncRNA from 1 species
GGAGGUUACGGAUGGUCCUCAAGUCCCGCAUACUGCAGAAGACCUUGCAGGCAUGAGAGAUGUUACAUUGGCAGCAGCAGUGGACCGGGAGGAAGAUCCACGGGAUUCCCAGAGCCUGCAUUCCUUGCCCGCAUGCCCGAGUCCAGAGGCAGCAGCGAAACUUCAGGAGUCUGCAGACGAGAGAGAAAAGCUUGAAGGACACAAGGCUGCCACAACACAAACAGAUUUUCAGUAUGGCGGACAGGCUGUGGUUGGACAGCUGCAGGAGGAGGCUGCUAAUGCUCUUGAAAAGCAGUUGAUUCUAGAAGGUUCACUUGAAGUCACAAAGCUUUACUGCAGUGAACCGAAAGAAGACAAAUUGCGGUUACAAGAGGAACUGGACAGGGUUAAAGCCAAGUUGCAGGAGUCGGAAGAACAGCGUAUACAAGCUGAGCAUUGUGUUCAGGAGUUGAAGGCAGCCCUGGAAAAUAAGCAAAGGGAAACAGUAGCAUCUUCCCAGAAACUGCAGGACCUUCUGGAAGCCUCUUUGGGAACCAUUAAUCUAAAACAACUGGAAGAACGAGUGCGACGACUUGAACUUGAAAAUGCCAGACUGGAAGGCACAGCUCAACAACAGACAGUUGGAACCCAAGUUCUGCAGAAAGACCUGCAAGCCUCUGCCUCAGUUCAUAGUCACCUGGAGGACYUGAUCACUGGCUUACCGACAAAACACGUGCCUUCAGAGGAAGACCAAAAUCAGCAGUGUAGGAGCAAAGGAAAGCCGUUGAAGACAAUGGCAGAAUGGACACGACCAACAGAAGCCCGUCUGGAGCAAGUAGUGGUAAGAAACAUCGAACUGCAGGAAGAACGCAACAGGUCCCAGAGGCUUCUGGAAGAAGCUAUGAAGAAACUGAGGAUGUACGAGAGGCAAGAGAGUGAAUCCCAGUUGAAUUUCCAGGACGAAAUGGAGGGUGCAUGUUCUGGAAUGGGCAGUGAGGUUGGCAGGUUAAGAACAGAGGUCCGUGAACUUUCCCACUGGCUGGAGGCAGAGCGGAGAAACUCAAGGCAGC